GGGCGACGGUUGUCCCGGUUUAAGCGUGUAGGCUGGUUUUCCAGGCAAAUCCGGAAAAUCAAGGCUGAGGCGUGAUGACGAGGCACUACGGUGCUGAAGCGACAAAUGCCCUGCUUCCAGGAAAAGCCUCUAAGCAUCAGGUAACAUCAAAUCGUACCCCAAACCGACACAGGUGGUCAGGUAGAGAAUACCAAGGCGCUUGAGAGAACUCGGGUGAAGGAACUAGGCAAAAUGGUGCCGUAACUUCGGGAGAAGGCACGCUGAUAUGUAGGUGAAGCGACUUGCUCGUGGAGCUGAAAUCAGUCGAAGAUACCAGCUGGCUGCAACUGUUUAUUAAAAACACAGCACUGUGCAAACACGAAAGUGGACGUAUACGGUGUGACGCCUGCCCGGUGCCGGAAGGUUAAUUGAUGGGGUUAGCGGUAACGCGAAGCUCUUGAUCGAAGCCCCGGUAAACGGCGGCCGUAACUAUAACGGUCCUAAGGUAGCGAAAUUCCUUGUCGGGUAAGUUCCGACCUGCACGAAUGGCGUAAUGAUGGCCAGGCUGUCUCCACCCGAGACUCAGUGAAAUUGAACUCGCUGUGAAGAUGCAGUGUACCCGCGGCAAGACGGAAAGACCCCGUGAACCUUUACUAUAGCUUGACACUGAACAUUGAGCCUUGAUGUGUAGGAUAGGUGGGAGGCUUUGAAGUGUGGACGCCAGUCUGCAUGGAGCCGACCUUGAAAUACCACCCUUUAAUGUUUGAUGUUCUAACGUGGGCCCCUUACCGGGGUUGCGGACAGUGUCUGGUGGGUAGUUUGACUGGGGCGGUCUCCUCCUAAAGAGUAACGGAGGAGCACGAAGGUUGGCUAAUCCUGGUCGGACAUCAGGAGGUUAGUGCAAUGGCAUAAGCCAGCUUGACUGCGAGCGUGACGGCGCGAGCAGGUGCGAAAGCAGGUCAUAGUGAUCCGGUGGUUCUGAAUGGAAGGGCCAUCGCUCAACGGAUAAAAGGUACUCCGGGGAUAACAGGCUGAUACCGCCCAAGAGUUCAUAUCGACGGCGGUGUUUGGCACCUCGAUGUCGGCUCAUCACAUCCUGGGGCUGAAGUAGGUCCCAAGGGUAUGGCUGUUCGCCAUUUAAAGUGGUACGCGAGCUGGGUUUAGAACGUCGUGAGACAGUUCGGUCCCUAUCUGCCGUGGGCGCUGGAGAACUGAGGGGGGCUGCUCCUAGUACGAGAGGACCGGAGUGGACGCAUCACUGGUGUUCGGGUUGUCAUGCCAAUGGCACUGCCCGGUAGCUAAAUGCGGAAGAGAUAAGUGCUGAAAGCAUCUAAGCACGAAACUUGCCCCGAGAUGAGUUCUCCCUGACUCCUUGAGAGUCCUGAAGGAACGUUGAAGACGACGACGUUGAUAGGCCGGGUGUGUAAGCGCAGCGAUGCGUUGAGCUAACCGGUACUAAUGAACCGUGAGGCUUAACCUUACAACGCCGAAG
rnacentral:rRNA from 1 species